rnacentral:rRNA from 1 species
GGCGGCAGGCCUACACAUGCAAGUCGAGCGGCAGCACAAGGGAGUUUACUCCUGAGGUGGCGAGCGGCGGACGGGUGAGUAAUGCCUAGGGAUCUGCCCAGUCGAGGGGGAUAACAGUUGGAAACGACUGCUAAUACCGCAUACGCCCUACGGGGGAAAGGAGGGGACCUUCGGGCCUUCCGCGAUUGGAUGAACCUAGGUGGGAUUAGCUAGUUGGUGAGGUAAUGGCUCACCAAGGCGACGAUCCCUAGCUGUUCUGAGAGGAUGAUCAGCCACACUGGGACUGAGACACGGCCCAGACUCCUACGGGAGGCAGCAGUGGGGAAUAUUGCACAAUGGGGGAAACCCUGAUGCAGCCAUGCCGCGUGUGUGAAGAAGGCCUUCGGGUUGUAAAGCACUUUCAGUAGGGAGGAAAGGUAAUGGUUUAAUACACCAUUGCUGUGACGUUACCUACAGAAGAAGGACCGGCUAACUCCGUGCCAGCAGCCGCGGUAAUACGGAGGGUCCGAGCGUUAAUCGGAAUUACUGGGCGUAAAGCGUGCGCAGGCGGUUUGUUAAGCGAGAUGUGAAAGCCCCGGGCUCAACCUGGGAAUU